rnacentral:hammerhead_ribozyme from 1 species
AUCCAGCUGUCGAGCGCCAAAAUAGGACGAAACGAGCGUCAAACUGGAU